GAAGGUGGCAAGCGUUAUUCGGAUUUACUGGGCGUACAGGGAGCGUAGGCGGUUCGGUAAGCCCUCUGUGAAAUCUUCAGGCUUAACCUGGAAAAGUCGGAGGGGACUGCCGGGCUAGAGGACGGGAGAGGAGCGCGGAAUUCCCGGUGUAGCGGUGAGAUGCGUAGAGAUCGGGAGGAAGGCCGGUGGCGAAGGCGGCGCUCUGGAACGUUUCUGACGCUGAGGCUCGAAAGCGUGGGGAGCAAACAGGAUUAGAUACCCUGGUAGUCCACGCCUUAAACUAUGAAUACUAGGUGUCGGGGAGCAUUGCUCUUCGGUGCCGCAGCAAACGCAAUAAGUAUUCCACCUGGGGAGU
rnacentral:rRNA from 1 species